CUUCAUUUAGAGGAAGUAAAAGUCGUAACAAGGUUUCCGUAGGUGAACCUGCGGAAGGAUCAUUACUGAGUUUAGAUGGAGGGGAGUAAUCCCCUCCUCUUCUUCUCUUCACCCUUUGUUAUUAUUUGUACAAGUUGCUUUGGUGGUUGAUUCUUAUCUUCUGCCAGACAGCUUUUUCAAACACUCUGUUAUCCAACAAUUGAGAUAUCUUCUUGUCUAAUUCUUUACGACUUGAAUAAGUAUGUAAAACUUUCAACAACGGAUCUCUUGGUUCUG
rnacentral:misc_RNA from 1 species